AUGCCUGCUGAGGAGGAGGAUAACUCUGGGCAACCUGUGUGGCAAUCCGUCCUGCUGUUUGGCUGUAAGGGAAUGAUCGAGGGAAUCAUUGUCCUCUUGUUUCUCUGGCUGCUAUUGCAGGUGCUCUUCACAAAACAGCAUGAAGUCCACUUGCAGAUUCUGCUGAGUGUGGGUUUGGUGGUUCUGUGUUUUUCCCUUAUCUUGGGCUGCUUCAUUUGUUGGUUAAAGACCAGACACCAACCACCCGAAGACAAAAAGACUGUGAGGACACCCCCUUCUCCUGAUUCUGUUGAUCAUGUCACUGUGGCUUUGAGUCCUGCCCCCUUAUCUGGAACCACAUUUACCAAAUUGCAGUGCGAGGAGCUGGAAGGAUCCAUUCAAGACUAUCCAUCUGCUUUCGAGAGCUCUACACCAUCAGAUGAAGAGUUGACUGCUGUCUCUGAGGGUAACAAGUCAUGCUUCCAAAUGAGACGACUCAGUUCUCCAUCAGUGUCCUCUUCUCUAUUCAAGCCAAUGGCCAGUGGCCGCUCCUCUCUCCCGUCUUUCCCAAGACUUAGUCUUCUCACAAAGACCCGGGAGGUUCUGGAACGUCACUGCACUGUGGCUGGAGAUAGUUACUCAUUUAGCGAACACAGAAGGCUCACUUUUCCCAACCCACGUUCACCCUGUGCCCUUUCUCCACUUCAAACCCAAGGUCUACUACAGGAUGAACCUUUAAUUCCUAACUAUGGUUCAUAUUCUUGCAGUGAGACCUCAGAUCCUUUCUUGCACUUUACCCUGACCUUCUCUUCAACACAGAACACACUCACUAUAUCCAUAGUGGGUAUAACCGGUGCAGUCCAUCGUCUAGAAGAAGUGACUGUCCAGGCCAAGCUGCCUCCACUUCGCCCUGGACCUCUGGAUAUAUCUGCCCAGGAUUACAACCUUAGCUCUGGACUCUAUAAAAAGAACUUGGUGAUCAAUGUUGGAUCUCUAGAGGAUCUUAAGGGUUGCAUGCUCAGACUGGCUAUCUUCAUGCAGGAUAAUCCAAAGACAUCCCUAUUUGAGGAGCUUGAAGUUUGCUGUGGUAGUCUGGAAUGGACACCAGACAGGCCUGUAAGAUGCAUUAGAGAACUAAGGCAAGUCGUGGUCAAGUCCAAGAAGGACACUUCAUAG
ensembl:lncRNA